GGAUAAGAGGAGGAAGGUUUCUGAGGACUCUGAGAUGGACAUCUCUUAGAGCCAAGAUACAGAGAGUCAAAGGAACCUAAGGAAGCGUUCUCGCAUCUCUAAAGAUGUUGUUGAUGAUGAUGUGGAAAUGACUCAAGAAGGAGAGGACUCUGACCCUCACAGAAGAUGAAAACACUCAGCCAAUUCAGAAGAGCAGACCAGUGUCUCAGAGAAGCUGUCAAAGAAAGAAGGCUGAUAUCAGUCAGGACAGGUACAACAGAGUCCUCUUCAUUAUCAGAUAAUAGAUUCUGGCCUGUGCCAAUAUUGUGAAUUUUUCUGCAUUAUUCCUCCAAUACUUGCUUAGAUGUUGUGCUACAAUGUUGGACUGGUCUGGAAUUUUUUCUGUCAUGUUUCUUUGUUUGAGUCAAUUCCACAAUCUAACCGCACAUUAGAUAUGGAGACUGAUUUUCAGUCUUCGAGACCGUUCUACUGAAGGUCUUUAAGGUGACCCGGUCUCAGUCUGUGGUGGUGCCUGAUCUUCUAACUCACAUUAACAAAGGCCAGGACGAGGAUGACAACCAGGUCAUGGUCUCAGAGAAUGUGGUGUUUCUCAUAUAGAGCAGUGCCAAUGGACAGCUGCAUCUCUUGAAAAUUCAGGAAUGUAAAUUACAUUGCAAUUAUUUAUAAUACAGCACUUUGUUACCGACUAUAACAAACCACUAAUAAACUGUGU